AAAGUCGUAACAAGGUUUCCGUAGGUGAACCUGCGGAAGGAUCAUUACUGAUUUGGCGGACCGAGCGUUAGCGAGGUUUCGCGAUCGCCUGUAUUUAAAACCCACACUUUGAAUGUAAUAUGUAUAUUUUUGUAUUUUUAAUAAUAAAAAAGAUCACUUUCAACAACGGAUCUCUUGGCUCUC
rnacentral:misc_RNA from 1 species